AGUGAACGCUGGCGGCGUGCCUAAUACAUGCAAGUCGAACGGAGUGGCGCACGGGUGAGUAAUGUAUAGCUAAUCUGCGCUACACUAGCGGACAACAGUUGGAAACGGCUGCUAAUACUCUAUAGUGUAGGAUGAGGCUAUAUUGUAUCAGCUAGUUGGUGAGGUAAUGGCUCUCCAAGGCUAUGACGCAUAACUGGUCUGAGAGGAUGAGCAGUGACACUGGAACUGAGACACGGUCCAGAAUCCUACGGGAGGCAGCAGUAGCGAAUAUUGCUACAUGGGGGAAACCCUGAAGCAGCAACGCCGCGUGGAGGAUGGCACUUUGCGGAGCGUAAACUCCGUUUGGUAGGGAAGCGGUACCUAACGAAUAAGCGCCGGCUAACUCCGUGCCAGCAGCCGCGGUAAUUC
rnacentral:rRNA from 1 species